UUCUAUCGAAGUUGGUCUUUAUUCUAUGAAACGACUGUCUGCCUGCUCCACGGCUAGCCUGCUGAGACUGCUUCGACAUGUAUUCCGUAUCUGACAAGUGUUAUUGCGCGCAUUUGUAUCCCGCAGAAGUGGUCCAAGUUUUUGAAGUGCGCGUUGAAAUACUGUGAUUGUCCCGAGUCGGGUCUGAGCUGCGCCACAGCAUGUCUGAUGCGCGGGAGCACGCCGCCGACGCCGCGUCUGAGACGCCGACACGAAACAGAUUCAAGAUGCAGGCGAGGCGGUCCCGAUCCAGUCUUGGUGCUGCCAAUCGCCCAUUCAGCUCACCGAUGAAGGCUACACCCGUAAGCAGUGAAAGUGUCGAGGACUUGCGCAAGAAACUGGCAGGCCUCCGCAGCAAGAGUCUCCUCUUGGAUGAGCAGAUUGAACAGCUGAAGGCAGAAGGCUGCACCAUAGAGGAGCUUCCUUGGCACAUGGAGCAGCUGCAUACAUACAACCAGAUUAAGGACAUUGCUCAUCAGGUCAUUGGCAGCCUGGCGGUCAUAGAAGGAGUGACCAUAAAGGACAAGCAGGAACACUACGGUCUGCCCACAACCGAACCCAGUAGUGUGCCACAGCACACUUGACUUUGCUGUUUGUUUGUUUUUUCUUGUAACCCAUGCAGCAGAGAUCUGGGAUGGGAUCCUCAGUGCAUUGAUGGUUUUUCUUUCCAUAUAUUUGUCCUCUUCUCAUUUCACUCGCACCUUUAUGUUGUUUUUAAAUAUUUUGUUGGAAAAGCCUUGAAGUUGUAUAUGACGAUAGCAUUCUAGAUUUUUCAAGCGCCUCUCCAGGUUGGUGGGUGCUGAAAACUUUUGAUGCGAGCGUUUGUUUGUCCCAUCACUUUGUCUUAAAAUUAUUUCUGUGCUCACAGUACAGCCUGUAGUGACUGGUCGGUGGCAUUCUGCAAACAGCUUCAGCCUUAAUUCCUUCACCACCUGUCUAUGCA